rnacentral:rRNA from 1 species
GUGGGGAAUCUUGCGCAAUGGGCGAAAGCCUGACGCAGCCAUGCCGCGUGAAUGAUGAAGGUCUUAGGAUUGUAAAAUUCUUUCACCGGGGACGAUAAUGACGGUACCCGGAGAAGAAGCUCCGGCUAACUUCGUGCCAGCAGCCGCGGUAAUACGAAGGGGGCUAGCGUUGCUCGGAAUUACUGGGCGUAAAGGGAGCGUAGGCGGACAGCUUAGUCAGAGGUGAAAGCCCAGGGCUCAACCUUGGAAUUGACUUUGAUACUGGCUGUCUUGAGUUUGGGAGAGGUGAGUGGAACUCCGAGUGUAGAGGUGAAAUUCGUAGAUAUUCGGAAGAACACCAGUGGCGAAGGCGACUCACUGGCCCAAUACUGACGCUGAGGCGCGAAAGCGUGGGGAGCAAACAGGAUUAGAUACCCGUGUAGUCC